CCUACGGGGAGCAGCAGUGGGGAAUAUUGGACAAUGGGCGAAAGCCUGAUCCAGCCAUGCCGCGUGUGUGAAGAAGGCCUUCGGGUUGUAAAGCACUUUCAGUGGGGAAGAAAGCCUUGGGGCUAAUACCCUCGAGGAAGGACAUCACCCACAGAAGAAGCACCGGCUAACUCCGUGCCAGCAGCCGCGGUAAUACGGAGGGUGCGAGCGUUAAUCGGAAUUACUGGGCGUAAAGCGCGCGUAGGCGGUCUGAUAAGCCGGUUGUGAAAGCCCCGGGCUCAACCUGGGAACGGCAUCCGGAACUGUCAGGCUAGAGUGCAGGAGAGGAAGGUAGAAUUCCCGGUGUAGCAGUGAAAUGCGUAGAGAUCGGGAGGAAUACCAGUGGCGAAGGCGGCCUUCUGGACUGACACUGACGCUGAGGUGCGAAAGCGUGGGUAGCAAACAGGAUUAGAUACCCCGGUAGUC
rnacentral:rRNA from 1 species